GCCCGACUAGCUCAUCGGUAGAGCGCCUCACUAGUAUAGUUUCCUCUUGAAGAGAAAAAACCUUCACGAGGAAUCAGGGUUAUUAUACAUUGCAAUGAGGAGGCAACAGGUUCGAUUCCUGUGUUGGGCA